AAAGUAGACUGCCUUAUCGAUUUGUUUUGAAUUUAUUCAAAUAAAUAGGAAAGUCCGGACACCAGAGAGUAUCAUAGCGGAUAACAUCCGUCCAGUGUAAACUGAGGACAAGUGCAACAGAAAGCAAGUACAGUUUGGCUGUAGUGAAACCAGGUAAACUCUAUGAGGUGCAAUGCUACGUAUAUUAGAAUCCCGAAAGGGUAAGGAUAACUCGUCCAAUUCUAAGGGGUAAGCAGCUAAAGUUAUACAGUAAUGUAUAACAUAGAUAAAUGAUAAGGAUUCGCUUUGGCGAAAACAGAAUCCGGCUUAUAGUCUACUUUUUUU
rnacentral:RNase_P_RNA from 1 species